UGAGCGGAGGGGCCGGGGGGGGGAUGCGGGGAGCGGGGCCGCCUCCGUUUGGCUUCGGGGCGGGAGAGCGGCGGGGGCCGGGCAGGCAGCGCCGCUGUCGCCCCGGCACUGAGAGCUCGCUCGCACCGGAGGCAGCGCCGGCCGCUCGUGGCCCCGGAGGUGCCGAGAGAUGGAUUUGCUCUUAA
rnacentral:lncRNA from 1 species